AAGGUCGCCCUAGCAGCGAUCUUGGAGGUCACGGAUUGGAGGCAUUGAAGAUCAGUGAGUUUGUUCUUGAGCUGUCGGGCAGAGUCUAGGUUUGUAAUUGAUCAGUGAUGAUCUUCCGAUUGGGUGAUUUCUUCUGGAGACAACCUUUUGAGAUCAGCUUCUUUGCUGUGUUUGAGGUAUCGGUUGAAGUGGGAAAGAAUUCCAACAAGUGUUGUAUUCUAUGAUCGGAAAUUGAGUGUUGUGGAUCAACAAGCGUGGCUGUGAAGUUUUGUUUUGUGCUGUGGUGUUCUUUGAUCCUUUCUUGGUUCCGGCAGCACACCAACCAACAGCCUCCUAGUUCCAACAUCAACAAUAGCUGGGAUUGAGGACUCUGAUUCGAGACAGGCG